AUUAAACGCUGGCGGCAUGCCUUACACAUGCAAGUCGAACGGCAGCACGGGGGCAACCCUGGUGGCGAGUGGCGAACGGGUGAGUAAAGCAUCGGAACGUGCCCUGGAGUGGGGGAUAACGUAGCGAAAGUUACGCUAAUACCGCAUAUUCUGUGAGCAGGAAAGCAGGGGAUCGCAAGACCUUGCGCUCUGGGAGCGGCCGAUGUCGGAUUAGCUAGUUGGUGGUGUAAAAGGCCUACCAAGGCGACGAUCCGUAGCGGGUCUGAGAGGAUGAUCCGCCACACUGGGACUGAGACACGGCCUAGACUCCUACGGGAGGCAGCGGUGGGGAAUUUUGGACAAUGGGGCGAAAGCCUGAUCCAGCCAUGCCGCGUGAGUGAAGAAGGCC
rnacentral:rRNA from 1 species